CUGGAAUCUGAAGACUGUGACUGAUCUGUGUGCUUGAUAGCUGUGAUUUUAGAAUGAACACUCCUUGAAUAUUGUCUUUGCCAAUCCAUUACAAAGCUUGAGGUUUGUAGGUUUAAUGACACAUGCAAGUUCAUGAGUGUAGGGUAAACUCAUUCUGUGACCACCUUGAAAUGACACAAAUUCCUGCUUCUUGCUGUUACUUUACCCUUAUUCUGGGCUGUGUUAAUAGUUUGACUUGGUAAUCUCAGCACUUCUUCAUCUGUAUAGUAUCCAUUUUCAGGAUAAUAGUUUGUUUUGGUAAUCCCAGCACUUCUUCAUCUGUAUAGUAAUCAUUUUCAGGAUAAUAGUUUGUCUUGGUAAUCCCAGCACUUCUUCAUCUGUAUAGUAAACUGUGACAGGACAUGUCAGUUAC
rnacentral:lncRNA from 1 species